GUUCUCAGGUGCUUCUCAGGGUCCUAUUGUGGUCCAAGGACCACAAUAACCAGAGAGUUACUCCAAAAUCUUUUCUCAGCUUUUCAUAACUACUACGCUGAAAAUCUCCAAUUGCUGCAGCACUCAUGUUAAAAAGGUUCCAUAUCCACUGUUCACCCCAUGAAGUUUCUGAGGUUAUUACCUCUUCAUCUUCAUCAUAGAAUCAUGGAAUUGUUUGGGUUCCAACCCCCUGCCAGGAGCAGGGGCACCUUCCGCUAGAUCAGAUUGCUCAGAUCGGAGCCCCAUCCAACCUGGCCUCGAGCACAUCCAGGGAUGAGACAGCCACCAUUUGUGUGGACAAGCUGUUUCAGUACUUCACCACUCCCACAGAGAAGAUUUUCUUCCUAAUUUUUAAUAUAAACCUGCCUUCUUUCAGCUUAAAUAAUGCAGUACUUUGGGAUUCAAGCCAACAGUCAAGCACCAUGGACCCUGCUGUACACAUCACUGAUAGCCUGAGAUUGGCCACCUUGAAUCAAUUACAUGGGCAAAGAAAGAGUUUAUUGUCUGCAGAAGAAAAUCCUGUCUGAAAAUAAUUUCUUUCUAGAAUUGCCUAGAAUUGCACAUUCUUCCCUUCAAAACUCAUCUCAAGAGCAACUUACAAGGAGUUUUGCUUACACAAGUUGCUGUGCCAUAGGAGAAAUAUUGACUGGGAGACAGUACUGCAUCCAUUGUCUGUUGAGACUCAUGAAAGAUAAGUAAAUUAAUUCAGAAUUCCUCUUCUAUCCUGAUCCUGUCCUUACCACAAACUGUGGCAAAAAAAGGAGGGAUAACAAUAUAAAGUGGUCAUUUUCCCCUUGUAAUAGUGACUAAAGGAAAGAGGAAGAAAGGCAGGUGGGCUGUGACUAUACAUGGGAUAUCAUGGAUGGGACAGCACUGCCAAAUUAGAGGAAAAUCCUGCUAUUGGUAGAGGAGGAAGAAAGUAGAAACAGGAUACAGCCUGUGUCUCACUGCAACCUUUUCCUAACUUCUUGGGUCAUUUGUAGUGUUCACAGAUCUGUUCUUGAUGUAGCCCACAGUGACUUAUUUUAGAAGCUCUGCAGAAGGUUUGUAUAUGGUAUUAUAUCCAUAAUCAGAUCCUUCCACCUAUUAAACAAUAUACAUAUUAAAAAAACCCCUUUAUUUAUGUCUACUUUUAUGGCUAUUUUCUUCACUGACCUCCUUUGAUAUCAUCCUCUCAAAUAAAAAUUUUCCCACUAUUACUGUGAUCUGUAUUUGGCUGUGGUGGGUUCAAUGAGCCACUACUGGAGACAGAAAAUCAGUCUGAAGGUAGCUUCACAGGUGUACCAGCACCAACAAAAGAAAGUAAUGUGGCCUUCAAAUUUUUUAGGCUGAAGCACAUCUUUAGACAAAAAUCAGAAAAAUCUGCAGGAGACUUCCUACCAAAGUCAUCUGGAUAGACUGAAGUAGUUCAUGUCUCAAACAUUGAUAUGAAGUUUUGCUUAUAAUAACAAAAACUGUAUAAAGAAGCUACAACCAAAGAAGCCUCCCUGAAGAUACAUGACUGGGACUUUGGACUGAAAGUUGAACUGCUGAGGUUAGAUAAAAAGUAAACCCAUUCUCCAAUCAGCUGAAGCAAACAAUUCAACAAGGAAAAGAAUGUGAACCAAACCAGCCGCCGUGCUAAGAAUCAUCUCUGGCUUGCUUUGGGGUGGGGGAGGCCGUAGCCCACAGACCCCUUUGCUGGGAGCAGGUUUGCCCAGAUUUGACUCCAAGCAAGUGGGGGGAGGAAGUUUGGGUGUGUUGGAACCUCUGCUCAGGGGCAGGGAACCCAUCCCCCCUUACACAACUUGGCUGUGGAAUUCCCAGUGGGACUUUCCCAUGAGUGGAGCUGAGGGGGUGCCUUAAUCCUGCAAAGGCCCCCAGAGUGCCCCGGAGUCAUUCCUGAAGCCUGGAACCACAGGACUGCAGGUGAUGCCUCAAACCCAGAGUCUGUUCUAAGGGACAAUGGCAAACUCCCCCCACUCAGGGAGGUACCUGGGUUUUCCUACCUGGCCUGAGCAUGUAUUAACCCAUCAGAUUGUGUGCUUUUUGGGGGGACCUUCACCACAAAGAAGACCAGCUGGAGAGGAUCAAGGGAGCAUCGUUGGGAUCCAUGGAGUGGUGACAUUUUCCUUAUUGUGUCCCUGUUAUUUUAUGUCCCCCCCACCUAUUUUCUAAUU